UUUUCACAGAAGUGUCGCCCUAGUCAGAA
rnacentral:piRNA from 1 species